UCCAUAGGUUAAUGAGGCGAACCGGGGGAACUGAAACAUCUAAGUACCCCGAGGAAAAGAAAUCAACCGAGAUUCCCCCAGUAGCGGCGAGCGAACGGGGAGGAGCCCAGAGCCUGAAUCAGCAUGUGUGUUAGUGGAAGCGUCUGGAAAGGCGCGCGAUACAGGGUGACAGCCCCGUACACAAAAGCGCAUGUGCUGUGAGCUCGAUGAGUAGGGCGGGACACGUGGUAUCCUGUCUGAAUAUGGGGGGACCAUCCUCCAAGGCUAAAUACUCCUGACUGACCGAUAGUGAACCAGUACCGUGAGGGAAAGGCGAAAAGAACCCCGGCGAGGGGAGUGAAAAAGAACCUGAAACCGUGUACGUACAAGCAGUGGGAGCACCCUUCGGGGUGUGACUGCGUACCUUUUGUAUAAUGGGUCAGCGACUUAUAUUCUGUAGCAAGGUUAACCGAAUAGGGGAGCCGGAGGGAAACCGAGUCUUAAUUGGGCGUUAAGUUGCAGGGUAUAGACCCGAAACCCGGUGAUCUAGCCAUGGGCAGGUUGAAGGUUGGGUAACACUAACUGGAGGACCGAACCGACUAAUGUUGAAAAAUUAGCGGAUGACCUGUGGCUGGGGGUGAAAGGCCAAUCAAACCGGGAGAUAGCUGGUUCUCCCCGAAAGCUAUUUAGGUAGCGCCUCGUGAAUUCAUCUCCGGGGGUAGAGCACUGUUUCGGCUAGGGGGCCAUCCCGGCUUACCAACCCGAUGCAAACUGCGAAUACCGGAGAAUGUUAUCACGGGAGACACACGGCGGGUGCUAACGUCCGUCGUGAAGAGGGAAACAACCCAGACCGCCAGCUAAGGUCCCAAAGUCAUGGUUAAGUGGGAAACGAUGUGGGAAGGCCCAGACAGCCAGGAUGUUGGCUUAGAAGCAGCCAUCAUUUAAAGAAAGCGUAAUAGCUCACUGGUCGAGUCGGCCUGCGCGGAAGAUGUAACGGGGCUAAACCAUGCACCGAAGCUGCGGCAGCGAACGUAUCACCCAAGACAACUUUACGGAGUUGACGAUUGACGGAGCGAAGCGACGUCAAAGCGUUCAUUAAAGUCGAGUUGGCUUAGGGAUACGUUCGUUGGGUAGGGGAGCGUUCUGUAAGCCUGUGAAGGUGUGUCGUGAGGCAUGCUGGAGGUAUCAGAAGUGCGAAUGCUGACAUAAGUAACGAUAAAGCGGGUGAAAAGCCCGCUCGCCGGAAGACCAAGGGUUCCUGUCCAACGUUAAUCGGGGCAGGGUGAGUCGACCCCUAAGGCGAGGCCGAAAGGCGUAGUCGAUGGGAAACGGGUUAAUAUUCCCGUACUUGGUGUUACUGCGAAGGGGGGACGGAGAAGGCUAUGUUGGCCGGGCGACGGUUGUCCCGGUUUAAGCGUGUAGGUGUGUGUUCCAGGUAAAUCCGGUUCACUU
rnacentral:rRNA from 1 species